rnacentral:rRNA from 1 species
AAAAUACGGGAGGCAGCAGUGGGGAAUCUUCCGCAAUGGGCGAAAGCCUGACGGAGCAACGCCGCGUGAGUGAUGACGGCCUUCGGGUUGUAAAACUCUGUGAUCCGGGACGAAAAGGCAGAGUGCGAAGAACAAACAGCAUUGACGGUACCGGAAAAGCAAGCCACGGCUAACUACGUGCCAGCAGCCGCGGUAAUUUUU